GUUGGCUUAGAAGCAGCCAUCAUUUAAAGAAAGCGUAAUAGCUCACUGGUCGAGUCGGCCUGCGCGGAAGAUGUAACGGGGCUAAACCAUGCACCGAAGCUGCGGCAGCGACACUAUGUGUUGUUGGGUAGGGGAGCGUUCUGUAAGCCUGCGAAGGUGUACUGUGAGGUAUGCUGGAGGUAUCAGAAGUGCGAAUGCUGACAUAAGUAACGAUAAAGCGGGUGAAAAGCCCGCUCGCCGGAAGACCAAGGGUUCCUGUCCAACGUUAAUCGGGGCAGGGUGAGUCGACCCCUAAGGCGAGGCCGAAAGGCGUAGUCGAUGGGAAACAGGUUAAUAUUCCUGUACUUGGUGUUACUGCGAAGGGGGGACGGAGAAGGCUAUGUUGGCCGGGCGACGGUUGUCCCGGUUUAAGCGUGUAGGCUGGUUUUCCAGGCAAAUCCGGAAAAUCAAGGCUGAGGCGUGAUGACGAGGCACUACGGUGCUGAAGCAACAAAUGCCCUGCUUCCAGGAAAAGCCUCUAAGCAUCAGGUAACAUCAAAUCGUACCCCAAACCGACACAGGUGGUCAGGUAGAGAAUACCAAGGCGCUUGAGAGAACUCGGGUGAAGGAACUAGGCAAAAUGGUGCCGUAACUUCGGGAGAAGGCACGCUGAUAUGUAGGUGAAGCGACUUGCUCGUGGAGCUGAAAUCAGUCGAAGAUACCAGCUGGCUGCAACUGUUUAUUAAAAACACAGCACUGUGCAAACACGAAAGUGGACGUAUACGGUGUGACGCCUGCCCGGUGCCGGAAGGUUAAUUGAUGGGGUUAGCGGUAACGCGAAGCUCUUGAUCGAAGCCCCGGUAAACGGCGGCCGUAACUAUAACGGUCCUAAGGUAGCGAAAUUCCUUGUCGGGUAAGUUCCGACCUGCACGAAUGGCGUAAUGAUGGCCAGGCUGUCUCCACCCGAGACUCAGUGAAAUUGAACUCGCUGUGAAGAUGCAGUGUACCCGCGGCAAGACGGAAAGACCCCGUGAACCUUUACUAUAGCUUGACACUGAACAUUGAGCCUUGAUGUGUAGGAUAGGUGGGAGGCUUUGAAGUGUGGACGCCAGUCUGCAUGGAGCCGACCUUGAAAUACCACCCUUUAAUGUUUGAUGUUCUAACGUUGGCCCCUGAUCGGGGUUGCGGACAGUGUCUGGUGGGUAGUUUGACUGGGGCGGUCUCCUCCUAAAGAGUAACGGAGGAGCACGAAGGUUGGCUAAUCCUGGUCGGACAUCAGGAGGUUAGUGCAAUGGCAUAAGCCAGCUUGACUGCGAGCGUGACGGCGCGAGCAGGUGCGAAAGCAGGUCAUAGUGAUCCGGUGGUUCUGAAUGGAAGGGCCAUCGCUCAACGGAUAAAAGGUACUCCGGGGAUAACAGGCUGAUACCGCCCAAGAGUUCAUAUCGACGGCGGUGUUUGGCACCUCGAUGUCGGCUCAUCACAUCCUGGGGCUGAAGUAGGUCCCAAGGGUAUGGCUGUUCGCCAUUUAAAGUGGUACGCGAGCUGGGUUUAGAACGUCGUGAGACAGUUCGGUCCCUAUCUGCCGUGGGCGCUGGAGAACUGAGGGGGGCUGCUCCUAGUACGAGAGGACCGGAGUGGACGCAUCACUGGUGUUCGGGUUGUCAUGCCAAUGGCACUGCCCGGUAGCUAAAUGCGGAAGAGAUAAGUGCUGAAAGCAUCUAAGCACGAAACUUGCC
rnacentral:rRNA from 1 species